rnacentral:tRNA from 1 species
GGGGGCAUAGCUCAGUGGUGGGGCGCAUCCUCAGCAUGCAUGAGGUCCUGGGUUCGAUCCCCAGUACCUCCA